UCGGGCGUGGUGUUGGACACCACGGGCGUUCUGUAUCUGAUCACGAGAAAUUCAUUAGGCCCGCAUACGGGGUUCGAUUCCCCGCGUCCGAA